AUCUAAGCUACAGUAAAGGUUUAAUUCUGACAUUGUUAAAAUAAUGACAAUAUUAAAGGGGGAUUCAAAUUAGUUUUUUUCCCCGUAAAUGCUUACCAUGAGUUUAUGUGCUGACAUUGGCAUUAAACUACUGCCAUUAUGACGUAAUAAUGUAACGGAGGUUUAAUCUCAGCCAAAAUGCUGUUUCCACUCAUUUAUUGAUUCACUUUUACAGAGAGAGGUACAUGUCGUCUUUAGAUAGUUUUAUUAUGUAUCACUGAUGCAUAAUCAAGGCAGGAAAAAUAGCUAACUUGACAAACUCAAGGAGAGAGAACUCACACUCAAGAAGGAGAGAGUAACGUCAUGUCAACCUCGAGGAAGAAAAACGCUGCUUACCAAGGCCACCAGGACAAACCUACCACUCCUAGUACCAAUGUGAUCCGGAAUCCUAUCCCAGAUGGCCAGCGUUGCUUAGUCAAUGAAGACAGGAUUCGGCAGAUGGAGAGAUCCGAGAGAGAGGCAAUGGAGGCUAAGGCCAAGCAGAUAAGUGGCAUCUAUGAGAACUAUGUUCAAACAGCUCUCAUCAGGGUUGGCAGGAACGUGUCACACCACUUUGCUCAGAGCACACCACUCCACAAACCUCCACCUAGGACUUUUCCCAGAACGACUGAACAUGUUGUUCUGCCCCGACUUAAUAAUGUCAUGGGGGUGGACAAAGCCAAUGGCCAAGACAAAGAUCUCUGCUUGGAGUCUUUCCGGUUGAAGGGGUCAUUGAGCAGCAGCAUGCUUCGAAUUCCUGUCCCUCCUCGUUCUUCUUCUCCCUUCAAGAAAGAAAAGAAGAAGAAAAAGAAGAAAGGCAGGCUGGAAGUCGAAGCCCUCAAUGUCCAGUCGGACAUUAACAAUGACAUCACACCCAUCGACCUGUUUGAGAAAUCGAAGAAUAUGCAGGUUCACCUGAAUCAGGAGGCAUGGAAGGUGGUUAAGGAGUUGGAGGCCACGGGCAGAAGGUAUAUAAACCCGGUCAAUUCCACAGGGGAGAGAACCACCAGCUCCCUGGGAACCCUGAGCUCAGUGGAUAUGGAGACCCCAGAGGAGCUACGCUGCUACUUAGAAUUUGGGACCCCGGACGAGCCACGCAACCCCACACCGAUUCCUUCACCCCCUCCUACCAAGCCCACAAGUAAACUGCUUCAGACACCUAAGUUCUUUCGCACUGCAAGGGCAGCUUCCAGCUCAGGUCAGUCCUAUACAUAUAGUUACACUAAUUUUAAAUAGUCGAUUAUUAGAUAGAAUGGAGGAAGCUUUCAGUGGUGCACAGUCCAAAAGUCAGAUUAAACAAAGAGGAAACUAAACUAAUUAGUCAUGAUUUAUAUACUGUAAUUGGCCUACAAUAUUCUGUAUAUAUAUUUAAUUUAUAUUUGAUAGCUCUCUUAUGUAAUUAUUAUUAUUAUUUUUCAUGCACUCUGAGAUUAUUCCUCUACUAUGAAAGCCCUUUACAAAUGCAAAAAUUAUUAUUAUACUCAGGUAACUGAAACAAUUUAGGGGUUUAAUGUAGACUUAGAUGGGGGUAAUAUGGAGAUUUGGAAUCCCCCCCAUGCGUUUUAAUGACAUUACAGAGUUCCACUUACUGUUUUACUGCAUCUGAAUAGAACAUUUCAUGUCAUAAUGGGCGAGGAUGUGCCAGUGUUAAAGGCAUAGAGAUAUGUAUACAUAUGAAUGUAUAAAUCAAGAAAAUUAGAUUAGACAGUAUAGAGAAAUACAAUAGAUAUAUACACUGUCAACCCAUAGACAAGAAGGUAGCCAGUGAACCUACGAGCCAUAUAGUGGAGAUUAAAGACCAGGCCAGAUUGCAGCCACUGGACAACCCAGAGCAGGCCCUGGAUAAGACCUUGAAACUGCUCAGCUCUGACUCAGUUGACUGGGAGAAGAAGAUUGAGGGCUUGACCAGUCUCCGUUCAAUGGCUCAGAACCACAAAGAACUGCUGAUGCCAAGACUGCAUGAUGUCUGCCUGGCAGUUAUAGACGAGGUGAAGAACCUGCGCUCUGCAGUGUCCCGUGCUGCCAUGGUAACACUGGGUGACAUGUACGUCCACCUUCAGAGGGCCAUGGACUGUGAGGUGGAGGUGACUGGGCGCGUGCUGCUGCACUUGGCUAGCUAUGCCAAUGCCUUCAUUCGCCAGAGUGCGAACACCGCCCUGCGUCACAUGGUGCAGUCCUGCAGCCCUACACGCGUCUUGAAGGCCCUGCUCGCCGGCGGGCUGAGCCACCGUAAUGCUGCGGUGAGGGGUAGUGCUGCUGAGCACCUGAAGAGUCUGGUUGAGGUCAUGGGGGCAGCUCACAUUCUUUCAGGGAAGAAAGACCUCACUAAGCACUUCCUGAUUGCGGUCAGCAAACUAGCUGUGGACCCUGCACAGGAUGUCAGGCAUCAUGGCCUGAGUAUUCUGAAAAACCUGGCCACUCAUGGCAGCUUUGCUAAAAUGUGGCAGAAAUCUACUCAGAAAAAAGAGCAAGAUUCUUUGAGGGACGUCAUUUUAAAGCUCAACCUCAAAGCAAGGAAAUAAUCCCUACCAUCUAAAGUCCCACCUUCACUAUCAAAUAUGAAUACAUUUCCCAACUUAAGCACUACAGAACCUUUGAACUUGUUUCCAAAUGUUCAAACAUUUCAAAAUCAAAGUUUCUGUAAGGUUAAAAUAUGAAUUGUAUUUCAGUGAGGACAUUUGAGUACACUAAUUUCACCAUGACAAAAUUUUUUACACUGUUGGUUUCUGUCCACAUUAGAAUCGCCAGAAAUUCUUUGGAAAAUAAAUGUGUUUAAUGUGUUUAAUUGAAAGUUUGCUACUAUGUCAGUUCAUUCUUUAAAUUUUUUUUUGAGUAUACAGUGAUCAGCCAUAACAUUAUGACCAUUCAGCAAACACAAGUAGUUUU
ensembl:lncRNA